rnacentral:tRNA from 5 species
GGUCUCUUGGCCGAGUGGCUAGGCACCGGUCUGCAAAACCGUCUACUCCGGUUCGAGUCCGGAAGAGACCU